UCUACAAGUCGCCGCCUCCUCCAACCCCAACAUAUGUCUACAAAUCGCCUCCUCCUCCUACCCCAACAUACGUAUACAAGUCUCCUCCACCACCAACUCCAACUUACGUAUACAAAUCACCACCACCGCCGACUCCAACUUACGUCUACAAGUCGCCUCCUCCACCUACGCCAACCUAUGUCUAUAAAUCUCCACCGCCACCAACCCCGACUUAUGUUUACAAGUCACCACCACCUCCGACUCCGACAUACAUUUACAAGUCUCCACCACCUCCUACUCCGACUUAUGUCUACAAGUCACCACCUCCACCAACCCCUACAUAUGUCUAUAAGUCACCACCUCCACCCACUCCGACCUACGUCUACAAGUCACCACCACCUCCAACUCACACUCCUACACCAUACUACUACCAUUCUCCACCACCACCAGUAAAAUCCCCUCCACCUCCUUAUUACUACCACUCACCACCACCACCGGUUAAAUCUCCACCACCACCAUACUACUAUCAUUCACCACCUCCUCUGGUGAAGUCUCCUCCACCACCAUACUAUUACCAUUCACCACCACCUCCAGUAAAAUCUCCUCCCCCCCCAUACUACUAUCACUCCCCACCUCCUCCAGUGAAGUCUCCUCCGCCACCUUACUAUUAUCACUCCCCACCUCCUCCAGUAAAAUCACCACCACCACCAUAUUAUUACCACUCUCCACCUCCUCCCGUGAAAUCCCCCCCACCUCCAUACUACUACCACUCACCACCCCCUCCGGUAAAAUCACCCCCACCACCAUAUUACUAUCACUCCCCACCUCCACCAGUGAAAUCCCCACCACCACCGUACUACUACCAUUCUCCACCCCCACCGGUAAAAUCUCCGCCACCACCAUACUAUUACCACUCCCCACCUCCUCCGGUGAAAUCUCUACCACCACCGUACUAUUACCAUUCACCACCUCCUCCGGUGAAAUCUCCUCCUCCACCAUACUACUAUCACUCACCUCCUCCACCAGUAAAAUCUCCUCCGCCACCGUACUAUUACCACUCUCCACCUCCUCCAGUGAAGUCGCCUCCACCUCCUUAUUACUACCACUCACCUCCUCCUCCGGUGAAAUCCCCACCACCACCAUAUUAUUACCACUCACCACCCCCACCCGUCAAAUCUCCUCCACCUCCAUAUUAUUACCACUCACCACCUCCUCCGGUGAAAUCUCCACCACCACCAUAUUAUUACCACUCACCUCCUCCUCCGGUGAAAUCUCCACCACCACCAUAUUACUACCAUUCACCUCCCCCUCCAGUCAAAUCUCCACCACCACCAUAUUACUACCAUUCACCUCCCCCUCCAGUGAAAUCCCCACCACCACCAUAUUACUACCAUUCACCACCUCCUCCAGUGAAAUCUCCACCACCACCAUACUACUACAACUCUCCACCACCACCAGUAAAAUCUCCCCCACCUCCCGUCUACAUCUACGCUUCUCCCCCACCUCCUACCCAUUACUAGGCUCGUCAAAUUCAACCAAGUUUCCCCAUUAUUCAAGUAAGUCCCAAGGCUCCAAUAUUCUAAGUAUGCUCCAUAUC
rnacentral:lncRNA from 1 species